rnacentral:rRNA from 1 species
CCCUUAGAUGUUCUGGGCGGCCCGCGCACUACAUUGGCACUAGCAAAGAGAUCCUAGAUUGAAUUCUUUGGGGUAUUCUUCUAAGUGGUGUCGUGACUGGGAUAAAUCCUUGUAAUUAUUGGUUUUGAACGAGGAAUUCCUUGUAAUCGCGGUUUAUCAGCUCGCGUUGAAUGCGUCCCUGCCCUUUGUACACACCGCCCGUCGCUCCUACCGAUGGAUCGUCCGGUGAAGCUCACGGAGUGACUGUUCACGCAACGGUUUACGAAGUGAAAUGGACCUCACGAUUUAGAGGAAGGAGAAGUCGUAACA